rnacentral:rRNA from 1 species
CCUACGGGUGGCAGCAGUGAGGAAUAUUGGUCAAUGGACGAGAGUCUGAACCAGCCAAGUAGCGUGAAGGAUGACUGCCCUAUGGGUUGUAAACUUCUUUUAUAUGGGAAUAAAAUGUUCCACGUGUGGGAUUUUGUAUGUACCAUAUGAAUAAGGAUCGGCUAACUCCGUGCCAGCAGCCGCGGUAAUACGGAGGAUCCGAGCGUUAUCCGGAUUUAUUGGGUUUAAAGGGAGCGUAGGUGGAUUGUUAAGUCAGUUGUGAAAGUUUGCGGCUCAACCGUAAAAUUGCAGUUGAAACUGGCAGUCUUGAGUACAGUAGAGGUGGGCGGAAUUCGUGGUGGAGCGGUGAAAUGCUUAGAUAUCACGAAGAACUCCGAUUGCGAAGGCAGUUCACUGGACUGCAACUGACACUGAGGCUCGAAAGUGUGGGUAUCAAACAGGAUUUGAUACCCGGGUAGUC